UUCCGGUUGAUCCUGCCGGAGGUCACUGCUAUUGGGAUUCGACUAAGCCAUGCGGGUCGUAUUGUCGGCCCUCGGCUGACGGCUCAGUAACACGUGGAUAAUCUAACCUAAAGUGGAGGAUAACCUCGGGAAACUGAGAAUAAUACUCCAUAGGUCUAGGAUGCUGGAAUGGUUCCUCACUUAGAAGAAUCGGUGCCUUAGGAUGAGUCUGCGGACUAUCAGGUUGUAGUCAGGGUAAAGACCUGACUAGCCUACGACGGAUACGGGUUGUGAGAGCACUAGCCCGGAGAUGAUAUCUGAGACACGAUAUCAGGCCCUACGGGGCGCAGCAGGCGCGAAAACUUCGCACUGUGCGAAAGCACGACGAGGGAAUCCCAAGUGCUGGCUCGUAAGAUCAGCUGUUUCUUUGUCUAAAAAACAGAGAGAGUAAGGGCUGGGUAAGAUCGGGUGCCAGCCGCCGCGGUAAUACCUGCAGCCCAAGUGGUGGCCGCUAUUAUUGGGCCUAAAACGUCCGUAGCCGGUUCUAUAAAUGCCUGGGUAAAUCGUACGGCUUAACCGUACGAAUUCCGGGUAGACUGUUCAACUUGGGACCGGGAGAGGCCAGAGGUACUCCUGGGGUAGGGGUAAAAUCCUGUAAUCCUCAGAGGACCACCAGUGGCGAAGGCGUUCUACUAGAACGGAUCCGACGGUCAGGGACGAAGCCCAGGGGCGCAAACAGGAUUAGAUACCCCGGUAGUCCUGGGUGUAAACGCUGCAGGCUUGGUGUCGGAGGUCCUACGGGGACGUCCGGUGCCGGAGCGAAGGUGUUAAGCCUGCUACUUGGGGAGUACGGUCGCAAGACUGAAACUUAAAGGAAUUGGCGGGAGAGCACCGCAACGGGAGGAGCGUGCGGUUCAAUUGGAUUCAACGCCGGA
rnacentral:rRNA from 1 species